rnacentral:lncRNA from 1 species
CAAUAGUAUAAUCACCUGUUACCUAUCACCUUAUCUGUACGUUCCGCACCUGACAGGCGCACCACCAAACGGUGUAUUCAGGAUUAAUAUGCUAUAUACACGGAUCAUAAUCACAGGGUUGACACUACUAAAUUGUCAAAUUGUUACCUAUUGUAGUAUUUUAAUCCGUAAGACUUUCUAAGAUAACAAUACGAAUACUAAAAAUCUGGACUAAAAAUAAGUUUCAAUUUGUUAGCGGGCAUGACGUAAAACAGCGAAUCAAAGAAAUUCAACUUUAUUUAUAACUAAUAUAGGACAAUGCUGUUGAUUAAAAAAUACUCCAUUCCAGGACCUUUUGUUUUCCAAAUAAUUAAUAUUACCAAUAAUUGAUAAGUUCCAGUUCGGCGGGUUCAAACAGAAAGAUUUGAAAGCAGAGAAAAUUGUGUAUCUUAUAAUCGGCAUGACUUUAUCAGAUGACAGUACUAAUACUAAAAUAAGGCUAGCGCAUAGUUAUAUACUUUAAUUCAGUCAUGGACCCGCGAUAUCACGGGUGUGUUCUAGUUCCAUAAUAAAAUUGAGAAAGCAAAUGGGGAAUGUGUCAAAAGCUAUAUAUGGUUACCGUUAGAAAAUGCAUGAAAAUUUACAAAAUUCAAAAUGUUUUGUAUCUUUGCUCUCUCAUCUUUAAUCAGUAGGCUUUUUUCCCAUGGACAAUGUCUCAGGGGAUUGUACUCUUUGUUAGUGCAGUUAUAAAGAGUUCACUUAACUGACAAUGAAAAGUCAUUCAUGUAUAGCAUUUCAUAGUGCAUGGAAAACCUUGUACUAUGAAAAUUAGAGGGGAA